UACGGGGGGGGCAAGCGUUGUUCGGAAUUACUGGGCGUAAAGGGCGAGUAGGCGGCCUUCUAAGUCAGACGUGAAAUCCCCCGGCUUAACCUGGGAACUGCGUCUGAUACUGGGAGGCUCGAGUAUGGGAGAGGGAUGUAGAAUUCCAGGUGUAGCGGUGAAAUGCGUAGAUAUCUGGAGGAACACCGGUGGCGAAGGCGGCAUCCUGGACCGGUAUUGACGCUGAGGAGCGAAAGCCAGGGGAGCAAACGGG
rnacentral:rRNA from 1 species